GAUGAACGCUGGCGGCGUGCUUAACACAUGCAAGUCGAACGAGAAUCAACGGAUUGAGGAUUCGUCCAAAUGAAGUUGAGGAAAGUGGCGGACGGGUGAGUAACGCGUGAGGAACCUGCCUCGGAGUGGGGAAUAACAGUUGGAAACGACUGCUAAUACCGCAUGAUACUUUUUGGGGGCAUCCCUAAAAAGUCAAAGCUUUAUGUGCUGAAAGAUGGUCUCGCGUCUGAUUAGCUAGUUGGUGAGGUAAUGGCUCACCAAGGCGACGAUCAGUAGCCGGUCUGAGAGGAUGAACGGCCACAUUGGGACUGAGAUACGGCCCAG
rnacentral:rRNA from 1 species